rnacentral:rRNA from 1 species
UACGUAGGGUGCAAGCGUUGUCCGGAAUUAUUGGGCGUAAAGAGCUCGUAGGCGGUCAGUCGCGUCUGCUGUGAAAACUCGGGGCUUAACUCCGGGCCUGCAGUGGGUACGGGCUGACUAGAGUGCGGUAGGGGAGACUGGAAUUCCUGGUGUAGCGGUGAAAUGCGCAGAUAUCAGGAGGAACACCGGUGGCGAAGGCGGGUCUCUGGGCCGAUACUGACGCUGAGGAGCGAAAGCGUGGGGAGCAAACAGG